GGGAGCAUAGCUCAGUUGGUUCAGAGCAUCUCGUUUACACCGAGAGGGUCCGCGGUUCGAGCCCGUGUGCUCCCA
rnacentral:tRNA from 1 species